rnacentral:lncRNA from 1 species
ACCAACAGGUUAGGAAGAAUCUGCACCGUGAGCCAGUCCGCCGCCCCGAGGGCUCCGGAAGCAGCGGGUGCUCGGCCCACGUCGCCUGCGAGGCCCCGCACUGGGAGCAGUCGAAGGAGGAGUCUUUAUUAUUUCUAUUUCACCUAUGAUGAAUAUGAUCCUCAGUCGGCCAAGGUCACAAAGCUUUUAAGAGUGUAUGUGAAAGCUUGCGUACAAAAAGAAGGGGCAACAACUAUACAGGAAGGAGAACAGGUGAAAUCUUCCACUCAAGAAUUCUACCCAGGAGGAUUAGAGAUGGCUUUAUCUCUGUUAUGUAUGUAGAGAUUCCUAUUGUUGGGUAAAUUUUCUAGUCUGUUUUAUGCCAGAUCCUUGUCUCUCAAUUUACCACUCUAAUAGUAUUUUCUCAUUCAGCAUACAUUUAAGAGGAAAAUGAUGUAUAUUUGCAUAUAUUAAAUUACUGUCAUCCUUUCUUAGAUUUAUAUCUCUAAGUGUUUUCAUUUUAAAAACAAGUAAUUUAGGCCUUUCAAAUAGCAUCCAAAACAAAUUAAGGAUUGCAAAACUUGAAUUUCAACGUAAGCCUUGAAAAAAUGUGAGGUUCAAUAGUUAUCUGGUUUUAAUAUGUCUUUUUGGUUUCUCUGUUGACUGAUAUAUUCCUGCCUAAAAUUUUGAUCCAAAUUUAAUAUCUCUUGUUACACAAGAUUUAUGUAAAAAGUAAAUUCAGUUGCUUUCAAAUUCAUUUUGUGUCUCAGUGAAAACAGAAUUUACUAAUUGCAAAUCUUCUGGAAAGCAUUGUUUUUUCCUGCCUCUAAUUGUACCUUUAAAACUUCAGUCCAUAAUUUAUUCUUUUAAAGAAAAGUACAAUUUAUAGUAUAGUUGUUAAGAUUGUUUAGUAAAGCAAAUAUGUUGGUAAAAUAAGCAACUUUUUAAAAAUCUGAAAUUAUCACCAAGAUGAAAUUACAGAAUUUAUAAAA